CUGUCAUCUCUAACAUUUCCAAACGUUGCAGGUGAAGUCAUUUUGGAUAGUUUCCAUACACAAUUCCGUCAAUUAACCAAAAAUUUAACUUUGACCACAAUUUUAAUAUUUUAAAAGAGAUAAAUGAGUAAGUCUUCAUUUAUCACAUUAAAUAAAUAAAUUUAAAACAUAAGAAAUAAAAAGUAAAAAAGAAAUACACACAAAGUCUUCUUCUUCCUCUCACCCCUCAACCAACCCACAUCAAACCCAAAAUCCACCUAACCACUGCCACUCCCACCUCGACAAUCAUUUUCUACUAGUCUCCAUUAUCUAUCCCAUCACAAUCGUUGUCACCUAACAACCUCAAUCAAUUUAUAAUCUCAUGGUGAAUAUAAAGCGGGAGAUCUUGAUUAUGCAUAUAUCGAAUCACCUGCAUAUUGUGAUGCUAUAUGAAAUUCUGGCAACAGAAACUAGAUUUAUUUUGUUAAAAGAGGUUAAUUAUUUGCGAAAGUGUGGAAAGGGCAUUUCGACGAAGAUCUCAGCCGCAUUAUUUUCAACAACUGAUCUCCGCAUUGAGUUAAUACCAUUCACACGACAUUUACCACCGCGAUUUGAAGCUAGAAAAUCUGUUACUAGAAGAGAAUGGUGAUUUGAAAGUCACCGAUUUCGAACUCUGCACCAUCACCAAACAUAUUCAUCCUGACGAGCUUCUACACACGCUAUGUGGAACUCUAGCUUAUGUAAAGCAAAAAAAUUUUGGCCAAAAAAAGGCUACGACGGUGCCAAAAUUGGGUGGCUGAUUAUGAUGGGAUGGGUGAUGGUGAUUGAUAGCAGGUUGUUGUAGAGAUGGAGGUGGCGAUGGUUAGGUGAAUUUUGGGUUCGAGGUAAGCGUGGGUGAUAGCAAAGGGUUGAGAGGAUAAAUAUGACUAUGCCUCCGUUUGGCUCCUAUUCUCCUUUUUAUUCUUUUUCUCUCUUAUUUUCUAUUACACAAUCUCACAUAAAAUAAUAUUACAUGCAAAUAAAAAAAAAUCUUUUUUUUUUCAAAUACA
rnacentral:lncRNA from 1 species